UAAAGUUAGUGCGCAAUCAAGCCUAAAGUUUACUUUAGGUUAGGAAAGUCCGAACACGUUGGUUGAAUGAAAUCCUCGCGAGUUCAUGCAGCCUCACGUAGCGGGUAAUCCCCGCCAUGAGUGAUCAAGGGAUGCGAACAGGAACGCUUGCGGCCGAGAGGCCGUAAGCAUCCGGCCAAGUGGCCGGAUGACGCCUGGCGGCAACGCCGGGAGUGAAACGGCUAAAUUCCUACGUGACAGUGCAAUGUCAAAUAGGUCCCGAUUUAUCGGGACGGGUUGACAGCUUGAGCCAAACAGCAAUGUUUGGCCCAGAGAGAUGAUUGCUUCCCCCGAUUUAUCGGGGUCAGACAGAAUUCGGCUUAUAGCUAUCUUGGAGAA
rnacentral:RNase_P_RNA from 7 species